GGGGGUGUAGCUCAGUGGUGGAGCGCUCGCUUCGCAUGUGAGUGGUCCCGGGUUCGAACCCCGGCACCUCCA